GUAAAUUAUGGGAUGUCAUCCACGCCUGUCCCAAAGGUACCGAAUUUAUAAAUCAUCUCAGGUGCGGAGCAGGACAGGUUGAAAAUAGGAAUGACAUGAACCCGCGCGGAACAGCUGCCGGCGCGGUGUCCAGGGCGGCACCCCGCCCGGUCCCGGCCCCUCCAGCCCUGGGCCCGACCCCUACUACGCCUCUGCCUCGACGCGAACGCGGAGCCCGAGCGCGCGUCACGCCGUGUGGGGCCGAAGAGGCUGCUACCCAGAGGCGGAGUGCGGGCUCGCGAGGGUCCCCACCCCACUCUCGCUCCCGCCAGCACCUACGGACUCGCGUCCCCGCCGCGCGCCGACUCGGGAGCAGCACCGCCCCCGGCACAGGAGCCUCACGCGCCUCUUACCUAACAGGAAGUUGGGUGGAAGCAGCGCGGACCCACGGCACACCGAACGCACUCCAACAGAACCCGACGCAGACACGCGCUUUCAACCGGCGGAGACACUGGCAGCUGAUCCAUAUGAAUUCCUCUUAUUAAGAAAAAUAAAGCAUCCAGGAUUCAAUGAAGAACUGACUAUCACCUUGUUAAUCAUUCAGAAACAUGUUGCAGGCUUAAGCCAUUUUUGAUAUAGAUACUGAAACAAUUACUUGCUAAGAGCAAACUUGAAGGUAUGGAUAAGGCCCUGAGUCAUCUUCCUGAGCUGAAUGAUAGUUAAGCUGAAUGUACGUAUAAAAUAUGAUUUUCUAACCACUUGCUCGCCAACAAGGAAAACUUUUAAGUAGAGCAGAACCUGAAUAGACAAGACAUUUCUUUCUUUUGGUAGAAAAUGAUUUACCAUCACUGUGUAGUUAAUUGUAGACUAGGUAAUUUUAACUUUGUGAUUUAUUGCCGGAGACAUUUUCUUCUGUACUGUAAAGUGUGUGUCAAAAAAAAAAAUAGCGAUUUUGGAGGAUUAGGGGACUUUGAUAAAUUGCCUGCAAUUCUGGCAGUAUGAACUGCAUAUUAAUUUCUGUCUUUCAAGAACAUUUUUAUUUAUUAAUUCCUUACAAAAACUCCCUAAACUUUGGAACAGCUCUCAAUUGCCUGUAUUCUUUUUUUUCUUAUUAUGGUACUCUUCUAGAGAUUUGGCUUGCAUCUGUGAAUAAGCCAGGACAUCUUCAGAAAUUGUCUGAUUAAAAACACCACCAAUGGAGUUUCAUUAAAUUUGUAUUGCUCUGACUAGUGAAACACACACAUCUAUGUUGCUGAGGAUAUUUUACUGCAGUUCGAGUUGUAAUAAUAGCUCUGUUUAAGAUCCGUCAGUCACUUGAAUCUUCUCUAAGGCUUUGUAUGUUAGAAGUUAAUUUGCUUUCUUACAAGGCCACAUUCUAUCUUGUAACUAAACAACUGAAUUUUAUGUCUUAGCGUAGAUGGUUUACUACUUUCUGGUUUUUCUUUAGUAAGAAUCCUAUAAAAACACUAGUAUUUUUCUCUGAGUUUAAAAUUCAAUACAUGCCUACUGAUAUGGUUAGGCUUUGUAUCCCCACCUGAAUCUCGUCUUGAAUUGUAAUCCCCAUAGCCCCCAUAAUCCCCACAGGUCAAGGGAGAGACCAGGUGGAGGUAAUUGAAUCAUGGGGGCAGUUUCCCCUGUGCUGUUCUUGUGAUAGUGAGUUCUCACGAGAUUUGAUGGUUUUAUAAGGGAUUCUUUCCCCUUUGCUCGGCACUUCUUCAUGCUGCCUUGCGAAGAAGCUGGCUUGCUUCCUCUUUGUCUUCCGCCAUGAUUGUAGAUUUCCUGAGGCCUCCCAAGCUGUGCUGAACUUAACAAUUUGGACAAGACAGCAAAUGCUAUUGUCCAAGUUUUCUAAAGAAGAAUCUGAAGUGAAAUGACAUCAAGAGACCUAUCAAGACCUGUAUCCAGGAAAAGGUUUAUAUGUGGAAGAGACUUGCCCUGUCUCAGGACUGGACCUCACUGUGGGAACAACAAGAUCAACAAGAGGAGCAAGAACAACAUCAAGAGUCAGGGCCCGGGGGUCCUGACGGGUACAGGAUGGGUACAGACCCACACAGGAAUCCCAGAGUGUGUUCCACAGCAGGACACGCCUGCGCUGAAAGAGUGGGCAGAAAGGAGCUGACCUGGGAUUAUGAUCCAAACUCAGCUGGGCCUCCCCUCCCUGCCCCAGGAUUGUGGAGUGAGAACGUUGCAGCAGGAGAGAACAACGCAGCAAAGCACAGCAGGGGAACCGGAAAUGCUCACCUUUUGACAGGACCAAACCAAUGCACAACUCCUACGUACUGAUGGUGGUCUUACGUUUCCCUAAGUUUCUGCCGACUAAACUGUGCACACGUUCUCAGGACCUCCUGAAGCUGCGUCACAGGCGCUGAUCAAAGAACACAACCAAGAGUUUGGCCUUUUCUUCAGCACUGGGAAUUGUGAUCCAAAGCUUUUCCUGAUGAGGCACAAAGUUGGAGAAACAAAACGCAAACUAAGCAACAAUGAAACAGAACAGAGUGAAUCUGCUGUAGCUCAAGAGAGGACGUAGCUGCCCCCACUCCGCAUCCCCGGGCUCGGGUUUGCCUUGCUGACCUCUGCUGCCACCUGGUGCCGCACAGAGAAACUGAGGAGAAACCACAUCAGUCUCCUUCAGCCUCAGCUUCACAUCUGUGGUGGGUCAAGCAACCCUUUCAGAAGCUGUAUAAUGUGGGAAAGCUUUCCUCUCAGGAAAAUGCACACAUCCAACUUUGAGAAGAUGCCCUUGGGGGCGCUUCAAGGAUCCUAGAUAAAGAACCCCCUUUCCCGAACAUCCAAGAACCUAAGUUUUUUUUUUUUUUUUUGAGAAAGUCUCACUCUCUCUCCCAUUCUGGAGUGCAGUGGUGUGAUCUUGGCUCACUGCAAGCUCCACCUCCCAGGUUCACGCCAUUCUCCUGCCUCAGCCUCCUGAGUAGCUGGGACUACAGGCGCCCGCCACCACACCCGGCUAAUUUUUUUGUAUUUUUAGUAGAGACGGGGUUUCACCAUGUUAGCCAGAAUCGUCUUGAUCUCCUGACCUUGUGAUCCACCCGCCUCGGCCUCCCAAAGUGCUGGGAUUACAGGUGUGAGCCACCACGCCUGGUCCAAGAACCCAACUUUUAGAUCUAGAGUGAUGUCAGCAUGACAUUGAUUUCCUGAGGCCCAGGGGUGAAGGAGCUGAGGACAGCAGAGGGGUGAAGGAAGUCAGCUACAGACAGCAGCAGCUGAUGCACAGGCCUCCCAGCGCCUGAAGUCACCCGGAAUUGGGAAGUGCUCAGAAGCUUACAAAGCUGCCUCGAGGUGGGAACACAAUAUUAAUCCAAGAGCAGAUCCCUGAUCCUAUAAAAAUGUACUAGAUGCAGUGGGGGCAUUUUAAAUGAGCAGGGAAGAACAGACAGAUAGACAGAAGGACAAACAGUAUUGGGAUUGGGAUAAAUGCUCAGCUUUUGCCCAAAUCUUAGUGACUUAAGCAUCACUUAUUUGCUCACGAUUCUGUGGCUGGACCAUUUGGUUUGGCUCACAGGGCAGGGACUGUGCUGGUCUUACCUGAGCAGACCUGCAUGUCUGCGGUCAGCUGGGUUGGCAGAGACAGAGUGACUGUCUUCCUCCAGGAAGCAGCAGGUUAACUGGUUGGCAGAGACAGAGGGACAGAGGGACUGUCUUCCUCCAGGAAGCAGCAGGUUAACUGGUUGGCAGAGACAGAGGGACAGAGGGACUGUCUUCCUCCAGGAAGCAGCAGGUUGGCUCUGGUUCCUUCGUGGGGCAGCUGGUCUCUAGGGCAGCAAGAGAGACCAAGCCCCCGUGCACAUUCUACAGCCUCUGUGCACAUCAGACUUGUUAAUAUCCCAUUGGCCAGUGCAAGUCACACGGCCAAGCCCAGAUUAAGGAGUGGAAAGAUGGAUGCUAUCUCCUCCUGGGAGAGGAGGCAAAGGAGGUGAGAGCAUUAUGUGGCCACUUAUGUUUGCAAUCUACCAUACUUAGCCCUUUGAGAAAAGAAUUAACUGAGAAACUUGCUUCAAAUAGGGCAUUCAGUAAAAUGAAGCCCCAAUUGAAGUAAAAUGCAUAUAUAAAAAAUGAAACUGUGACCGAUUUUAAGGACAGUAUUGGCAAAUAUUUCUGUGCUCUUGGAGGAGAAGACCCUUAUUGGCAUGACAUGUCAGAAACCACAAUGAAAGAAUUAUUUUAACUUGCAUUCAUAAUAAUUAAAAUUAUUCAUUAAAAACAUCGUGAAUGAAAUUAAAAGUCAAAAUGUAAGCCAGAAAAUUAUUUACAACAUAUGUGUCAGGAAAAGACAAUACCCUUCAGACUUUGAGAGUUUACAUCAGAAAGAAAAUAGCAAAUGACAUGAUCCAAACUUGAUAAAGGACAUGAAAAAGAGCCAGCACUUAGUAUGUUUUAUGAAUGAAUAAGUAGCCAACAGCACAUGAAAAUGUGUGUAAUCCACUUGUAAGCAGAGAAAUGCAAACUAAAACAGUAAAGUGUCAUUUUCACUUCCUGGAUUGGCAAAGGGUUUUAUGUAUUUUACUGACAGUGCUCAAUAUUAGCAGUAAACAACAAAUGGUGAGUAAAUAUGAGCUUCGGAACCUCAGGGAAAUGAUCUCCUUAUUUCAACCUGUAGAUUCCUUCCUACAACCAGUGUAGAGCAGAGUACCAGGACGGGCCAUUGAGCACCCUGGUGUUGAGAGCAAGUGGCCUCUAGUCAGAGUUGGGUCAGGGCCACUGUGAGUGGGCUGCCCCCAACAUGAGUCAGCUGUCUAGGACUAGUUUAUCUCUGCUUCUCACUUUACUGGUAUUAUGGGGCAGCUCCUGCUGUCUUCCAAUUUGGUGUCUUCCAAAUCGGCACCGUCUUUUAAAGUUGAGUUUCUUGUUAUUCUCACCUGAUAUACCUUAUUUAUCCCACACCCACCCCAAUAACAUAUCGUGCUCAGUGUUAUCUUUGAGACAACACUUGAAUUUUACUCAGCCUGGAGCGCUCUUCACAUGUCUUGUCCAGAUCCAGUUCGGACUCAUUCUUCAGCCGUGCAUCAGUAAAUGGGGGCUAGGUUAAACUGUGGUGACAAACAACCUCCAAAUUUCAGUGGCUCAAAAAUCUUCUUCCUCAUUUAUUUACAUUUCAUCAUGGGUCAGGUGAGAGGUAGCUCUGUGCUGUGUCAUCCUAACACAGGGAUCCAGACGGAAGGAGGGACAAUCAAUAAGAUCCCCAUUGCUAUAGAAAAGAGAAAAAAGUAUGCGGAAUAGAACUCUGUUUCUUGGAGAUUUCUCCUGAAAAAGUCACAUGUUAUUUCUUCUCACCUCCAUUGGCAAAAAAAAAGUCAUGUGGCCAUGUGAAAAUGUAAGUAGGCGGGAUGGAACAGUCAGAAUGCAUUCAUAAAAUAUGAACUGAAAAUAUCUGGAGAACAGCACCUAUGACUACCACGAAUGCCAACAUGCAUCCCUAACAACCCAGUGCUGUCACCCUCCAAACUUUUUAUGUCUUGAAAAGUAUUAGAACUUCUUAUCUGAAGCCAUACCACUCAGAGGGAAUGCAAAAUACAUAUUGACAUCUCCUUUAGGAUGUCCUUAGAGAAUUCAAGGAAAAGAAGUUAAAUAAUUUAAAAGUGCUUUUGGGUACAGCUAUUUAGCACUAGAGGGUAAGAUUAGACAUAGAUUGUAAAGAUAAUAAUAGGGUUAGGGAUAGGAUUAGGAUCUGGGUCAGAGUCAGGGCCAGAAGUAUGGUUAGAGGUGGGGUCAUGGUCAGGGUCGAGAUCAAAGUCAGGGUCAGAAUUAGGGACCAGGGUAGGGAUCAGGGUUUAGGUUCAGGGUCAAAGUCUUGGGACAGGGUUAGGGUUAGGAUUAGAACCAGAGCUUUGUUCUCCUCAGGACCCACCCGAGGGUGGGUCACCAUGGCUUUGGAGCACCUGGUAGUGUGGCGUGUCCACAGUGAAGACCAGAGUUUCGUUGUCCUUAAGACUGACCUGGGGAGACGUGGCUGCAGGCCAUUGAGGAAGGUGAGGAAAAACAUCCUGUCUGCUCCCCGUGUGCUGAGGAGGGAGCUCUGCCGUGGGCUUUACUUUCACAUGUUAUAUUCCACAAGUCUUGUUUUACAAAAGCAUCCCUUCCUUGAGGCUUCGGCUGCUCAUCGCUGCUCAUCAUCAUAGCGUGCCAUAACAUAUAGUAAGAUUUGGGUUUGUUUCUGGGGAGAGAUCUUGGUAUAGAGAAAGGAGAAAUGCUUAGAGCCACCAUCAGGACAGUUGGGAUGAAAGUUGGGUAUAGGCAGAGGCUGGAGGAAACAUGUGCAUCCCCUGUAAACACUUUUAUUCAUGUUUUAAUUACUCAUUUUUCUUACAGUGUUAAAUUAGUAAAGAUAGUAUUGAAAAAUUGAAAAGUAGGCAUAUUAAAACCUGCAACACUAUUUAAGCUUAGAUACAUUAUUUGUAUCUCAUCAUUUUUUAUUUUGUUGAGAAAGUUUAAGGUUAAUUGACAGCAUAUUUCUAAUAGUAGAUAGAAUAACAUCCCUUUUAUAAACUUUGACAUCUUACAUUACAUGUGUGAACCCUGAAAAUCUGAGACAGCUCUCAGAUUUUUUAGAAAGUUUAUUUUGCCAAUCUUGAGGAUGUGCACCUGUGAUGCCUCCUCAGGAGAUCCUGACAACAUGGGCCCAAGGUGGUCGGGGCACAGCUUGGUUUUAUACACUUUAGGGAGACACGAGAGAUCAAUCAAUAUGUGUAAGAUGUACAUUGGUUCAGUCCAGAAAGGUGAGAAGGCCAGACAGGGGGCUUCCAGGUCACAGGUAGGUAAGAGACAAAUGGUUUCAUUCUUUUGCAUUGCUGAUUACCCUUUCCACGUGAGGCAAUCAGGUAUGCAUUUAUCUAGGUGAUCAGACGGGUGUCUUUGGAUAGAAUGGGAGGCGGGUUUGCCCUAAGCAGUUCCCAGCUUGACUUUUCCCUUUAGCUUAGUGAUUUUGAGUCCCCAAGAUUUAUUUUCCCUUCAUAAGUGUUCCUAUGAGUAUUAAUUAUUCAUUGUGUCUUUUAUUACACAAAUAAGGCACAGAUUUUUAAGAAAUCAUCAACUUCAUGGCUACCUAUAUAGACAUAAUUACAUAGAAGCUCAACUAAAUUUGCAAACAUUCCAGAGUUUGGGUUUCCAAUAAUUCUUUGUGAUUCUUUAAAAGGUAAAGUAUUUUUUCCCAUAAAACAUAGCAACAUUUAAAAUCACCCGUAGAAUGUCCUGCCAUUUUUGUUUUUCUAGUUUCCUCAUUUUCUGCAAAUCCUCGCUGAGGAAAUUGACUUUGAAUAUCCUUUUAGACUCUUUUGUUUUAGAAAGCAUUGUGGUAAAACAUUGAAUCAUCAUGGUCAUAAGUUCCGUUCACAUUCUUUCUUUCUUUGAAUAUUUUUUCCCAGUGGCCAAUAUUUGAUUCUGUUGUAUUAUGGCUAAAAGGUAGGCAUGGGAACAAAAUAAAGACAAGAAGUCUUUGGAAUAAUUGAUCCCAUCACAAUGAAUCAAUUUGCCAUUGGAACAUGUUUUUACAAAGUCACUCUUUUGAAAAUAUUCAGCUAUGACUUGAAACAGAGUCUGUAUGGUUAAUAUUUUUCCUGGUCUAAGGUGAACAGCAUUUUAGAGAAUGAACCCAGGACACAACCACAGCACAAGAAAAAAAUAUGAUAAUUAAGUUUACACAUAUUGUUACUACUGUAACAGAAAACAUGUAAAGGACAUUUGUUUUGAUUUAUAUAUCAGUCUGCACUGUUUAAUUUUUUGUGUCAUAAUUGCUCUUAUUUUAAAAAACAGGACUAGUUAACAGUGUCAAUUACUAGUAAUUCAUGGUAUAAAUAAUUAAACAAGGAAGUG
rnacentral:lncRNA from 1 species